rnacentral:lncRNA from 1 species
AUAAAAAUAAUGCAUUGUAUGCCGGAAGGGAUAAAUCUGGGGCUGAGUACAAGCAAAACAAGACCAAAGGAAGCUACCUGAGCAGGUAUUCCAGAUACUCAUGUCAUACACCAAGGUUGUACCAGUGCCCCUUUCUCUGUGACACAUCCAUCCACUGGAAACUUUCGUACAACUAGCUGAAAGAAGAGAAACAUCCUAUUUCAUGUCACUGGAGCCCUAAUGAUCGCAGCCAUUUCAGGAAAUGCCAUCAAUUACAGUGAGGAGCUCAUUCAGAAGUGAAAGAUGAGUUCCAUUCUCUGUUACUUAGAGGACAAUAGAUUAUAUUGGAUGUAGAUGAAGUUUGGGCAGAAUCAGGGAUCAAUGGCUCCAUCUAAAUUGUUGCACCAAAACACAGACAUACACCUGCUUUUAGAUUUGAAGAGUGAAUCCUCUCUGGAAAAUGUAGCAACUACUCAAAAAAGGUUGGAGGACCAACACUUCUAAGAAGCAGGAGGGUGGAUAUCCUCCUCCACUGAAUGCAAACUAUUAAGUAAUGAAAAGACAGCACUCCAAGCAAUAUAGAUUUAUAGGCCAACCUGGCAAUCAAGGGUAACUGACAUGAAAAUGGAUUGCUUCACAUUUUAAUUACAAAGAUACUCUUCAGUACCAUAAAUUGAAGAAAACACUAACUUUUUGUGGCUACUGUAAUUGUCAAAGUAUAAUUACCUGUGUUUUCUCACCUACGUAUUUGAGAUAGAGACAAAACCAAGUAAGUUAAUCCACUUAUAAU